rnacentral:rRNA from 1 species
AUGGUUAUUUCCCUAGUAGGGACGCGUUCUGAUGUAAUUGCUUCCAAAUUCUUUCUUUUCCCAGGAAUUGUAGCUCAAAUUCUAAGUGUCAUGGUCACUGAGGGUGUGAUCGACAAAGAAAAGUUUGAUUCUUUCUAUGUGCCCGUGCAUGGACCUUCCGGCGAAGAGGUGAGGGAAAUCAUUGAAGAAGAGGGCUCCUUUUCCAUCAGGGAGAUGCGGGUGCACGACCCUACGACCGAAAUGAACACUGCUCUGAGCACCCCAAGGAAGUUCGUCAAUAAUCUGAGAGCCUUAUUCGAGCCGAUAAUAGUCCAGCAUUUUGGAGACAUUAUGGAUGAAUUUGUGAGGACUGCGGAGCUGCACUGGAGCCUGGAUCCGGAUGGGAGCUUGCAAGAGGAGCGGGCCAGAACCUCUCGAGCUAUGCUGGUUGUAUCCCUCGCAAAGGUGUCAUGA